GUGAAUCAUCGAAUUUUUGAACGCAUAUUGCACUCUCUGGUAUUCCGGAGAGUAUGCCUGUUUGAGGGUAAUUAAAAACAAUCUUUAACAAAUUUUUUUGUUCAAAGGAAAUGAGUUCUCCUCGGUUAUAGCGGUAGCGUGAAAUAAAUGGUCAAGUCUCAUUUUAUUCGAGACUCGUAAUAAUAUUAUUUCGCGAAAUCGUGAUUAUGUGACUAUCAAGUUUUUAUGCAUACAGAUAU
rnacentral:misc_RNA from 1 species